UACGUAGGGGGCAAGCGUUGUUCGGAAUUAUUGGGCGUAAAGGGCUCGUAGGUGGCCAACUAAGUCAGACGUGAAAUCCCCAGGCUCAACUUGGGAACUGCGUCUGAUACUGGAUGGCUUGAAUUCGGGAGAGGGAUGCAGAAUUCCAGGUGUAGCGGUGAAAUGCGUAGAUAUCUGGAGGAAUACCGGUGGCGAAGGCGGCAUCCUGGACCGAUAUUGACACUGAUGAGCGAAAGCCAGGGGAGCAAACGGG
rnacentral:rRNA from 1 species